rnacentral:rRNA from 1 species
UACGAAGGGUGCAAACGUUGCUCGGAAUUAUUGGGCGUAAAGCGCACGUAGGCGGCUCAACAAGUCGGAUGUGAAAUCCCUCGGCUCAACCAAGGAAGUGCAUCCGAAACUGUAGAGCUUGAGUACGAAAGAGGAUCGCGGAAUUCCCGGUGUAGAGGUGAAAUUCGUAGAUAUCUGGAGGAACACCGGUGGCGAAGGCGACAUCCUGGACCGGUAUUGACGCUGAGGCGCGAAAGCCAGGGGAGCAAACGGG